GAUGAACGCUAGCGGCAGGCCUAAUACAUGCAAGUCGAGGGGCAGCACGAGUAGCAAUACUUGGUGGCGACCGGCGCACGGGUGCGUAACACGUAUACAAUCUGCCUUUAACAGGGGGAUAGCCCGGAGAAAUCCGGAUUAAUACCCUAUAAUAAAUGAAACGGCAUCGUUUUAUUUUGAAAGCUCCGGCGGUUAAAGAUGAGUAUGCGCCUGAUUAGCUAGUUGGUGAGGUAACGGCUCACCAAGGCGACGAUCAGUAGGGGAUCUGAGAGGACUACCCCCCACACGGAUACUGAGACACGGAUCCGACUCCUACGGGAGGCAGCAGUAAGGAAUAUUGGACAAUGCCCGCAAGGGUGAUCCAGCCAUGCCGCGUGCAGGAAGACGGCCCUAUGGGUUGUAAACUGCUUUUACACCGGAGAAAACCCCUUCUCGUGAGGAGGGCUGAUAGUAUGGUGAGAAUAAGCAUCGGCUAACUUCGUGCCAGCAGCCGCGGUAAGACG
rnacentral:rRNA from 1 species